GGCAUUGGCGGAUAUAGCCGGGUCGCCCCCCUCCUAAGGGGAAGGUCGCCCGUUCGAAUCGGGCCGGGGUCACCA
rnacentral:tRNA from 1 species